AGAGUUUGAUCCUGGCUCAGAACGAACGCUGGCGGCACGCUUCAUACAUGCAAGUCGCGCGAUUAAGGCCCGCAAGGGCGCAUAAAGCGGCGAACGGGUGCGUAACACGUGGAUAAUCUGCCUUUCGGUGGGGGAUAACGGCUGGAAACGGCCGCUAAUACCGCAUGUGGUUGCGGGGUCUUUGGGCCCUGCAAAGAAAGAGGCCUUUAAAGCCUUGCCGAGAGAUGAGUCCGCGCCCCAUUAGCUAGUUGGCGGGAUAACAGCCCACCAAGGCUUCGAUGGGUAGCCGAGCUGAGAGGUUGAUCGGCCACACUGGGACUGAGACACGGCCCAGACACCUACGGGUGGCAGCAGUAGGGAAUAUUGGACAAUGGGGGAAACCCUGAUCCAGCGAUGCCGCGUGGAUGAUGAAGGCCUUCGGGUCGUAAAGUCCUUUUCUGAGGGAAGAACUGUCUGGCGAGGAAAUGCGCUGGAUUUGACGGUACCUCAGGAAUAAGCAACGGCUAACUUCGUGCCAGCAGCCGCGGUAAUACGGAGGUUGCAAGCGUUGUUCGGAAUAACUGGGCGUAAAGGGAGCGCAGGCGGCUUGGUAAGUCUAAAGUGAAAUUCCAGGGCUCAACCCUGGACGUGCUUUGGAUACUGCCUGGCUUGAGUACGUGAGAGGAGAUUGGAAUUCCAGGUGUAGCGGUGAAAUGCGUAGAUAUCUGGAGGAACACCGGUGGCGAAAGCGGAUCUCUGGCACGUUACUGACGCUGAGGCUCGAAAGCAUGGGGAGCAAACGGGAUUAGAUACCCCGGUAGUCCAUGCCGUAAACGUUGUGCGCUAGGUGUAGGAGGUAUCGACCCCUUCUGUGCCGCAGCUAACGCAUUAAGCGCACCGCCUGGGGAGUACGGUCGCAAGACUGAAACUCAAAGGAAUUGACGGGGGCCCGCACAAGCGGUGGAGCAUGUGGUUUAAUUCGAGGCAACGCGAAGAACCUUACCCAGGCUUGACAUCCCAAGACCGCCUAUGAAAGUAGGUUUUCCCUUCGGGGACUUGGAGACAGGUGUUGCAUGGCUGUCGUCAGCUCGUGUCGUGAGAUGUUGGGUUAAGUCCCGCAACGAGCGCAACCCUUGUCCUUAGUUACCAGCGGGUUAUGCCGGGCACUCUGAGGAGACUGCCGAUGAUAAGUCGGAGGAAGGUGGGGACGACGUCAAGUCAUCACGGCCCUUACGCCUGGGGCUACACACGUGCUACAAUGGUCGGUACAGAGGGACGCAAGAUCGCGAGAUGGAGCCAAUCCCAAAAAGCCGGCCUCAGUUCGGAUUGCAGUCUGCAACUCGACUGCAUGAAGUCGGAAUCGCUAGUAAUCGCGGGUCAGCUACACCACGGUGGAUACGUUCCCGGGCCUUGUACACACCGCCCGUCACAUGACCCGAGUUGGGUGCACCCAAAGCCACUGGCUCAACCAGCAAUGGGGAGAGGUGUCUAAGGUGUGUCUGGUGAGGGGGAUGAAGUCGUAACAAGGUAACCGUA
rnacentral:rRNA from 1 species